AUUUAACGGUACAGUCCGUUGUUCCGUCCGCUGAUACAACCUCUACGACAAUGAUACAAAUAUAAUCAGGGAUAUUAGGGCACAGUAUGAUUCCUUUAUUGGCACUCUUGGCAAUAAUGUGCCAGAAGAAUCCAAAUAUCACUUUGCGUAUAUAAAUUAUGUGGUAGGUAAAUGGAAGUUCAUACAGGGAGAAGAUUAAAUAUCUACACACCUAACACCACGAUGAGCCUGAGGAACAGUAAACAGAUCCUAAUGAGGCAAGCCAGUUUUAAUGCUGAAGGUGGAUUUCUUCUAUAUCAAGCUGAAUUGAUAUGAACUCCAACUUCUCACAGACACAGGAACACUCCAGAAAGCAGCUGAGCCAUCCUAAGCCAACGUGGGCCAGCUGGUAGCCAGCCUGGCCUCCACUUGCCCACUUCACUCUUCAAGUUCAGGUACAAGCUUUGCUUCCUACCUUUAUCUUUUAUGACUUCCACUUUCAUUGUUUCCAUCUAAGGUAUUCUUUUUUCUGAAUGUAUUAAUUUUUCCUUCAAGCCACAACAAAAACUCUCUUCUUUUCUUCUUUUUUUAAACAAUUCUUUAACUAUGAUCUUUACUGUCUCUGUUUAAUUUUGAACCAGAACUUCAACUCGUAGAAAACAAGUUUAAAAGUCAUGCUUAUGAGAAACUUACAUAAAAGAAAUGUUUAAGUCAACUUAAUAACAAAUAAAGAAAUAACGCCAAAAUUUUCUCCCACAUUAAUCUAUAAAAACAAUGGAAUACACAAACACAGUGGAACAACAUGACAACCUGAUUCUGAAGUUAAGACAUGUUAGCGGGCUUCCCUGGUGGCGCAGUGGUUGGGAGUCCACCUGCCGAUGCGGGGGACGCGGGUUCGUGCCCCGGUCCAGGGGGAUCCCACGUGCCGCGGAGCGGCUGGGCCCGUGGGCCAUGGCCGCUGGGCCUGCGCGUCCGGAGCCUGUGCUCCGCAGCGGGAGAGGCCACAGCGGUGAGGGGCCCGCGUACCGCAAAACAAACAAACAAAAAAAGACAAUGUUAGCAAAGAAACAGGACUCUCCAAGAUAAUCUUGGUUAAAAAGAGCAAGGAGGAGUGGGAGAUUUGUGUCCUACCUGCCGCCAUCAUUUUUAUUAAAGCUCUAAUAAGACAAUGUGGCAUGUGAAUUGCGUUAGGUAGACAGAAUAAUGAAAAGAAUAGAGAGGUCUAAAUUAAUCUCACACAAAUAAUAAGAAGCAGAAAUUUGAGAUCAGUGUGGGGAGUAAUGAUUAUUCAAUGAAUGGGUCUGAGACAAUUGGUUAUCUACCAGAAAAUUGAAUGUUUGCUUUUUAACCCAGGUCAUAUCCAAAAAUUAGUUAUCAGUUAUAGAUUUAAAAUAAAUGUGAAAGGUAAAAACUAUAGAUAUUAUAGAAUAAAAUAUAGAAUAUCUUUACAAAGUCAGACUACAGAGGAUUUCUUAAGCAGUAAUAAAACUGGCAAACCAUAAAGUAAAAGGUAGAUAUAUCAUUACAUUGAAACUAAAAACUUGCAUUCAUCAAAAGGUAUAAGAAGUUAAAAAAACAAAUCACAAAUCACUGAUGUAGAAUCGAUAAGAAAAAGAUAACCCAAUAGAAAAAUGAGCAAAAAUGUAAAUGGGCAUUUCACAGCAAAGGCAACACAAAUAGCCCUAAGCAUAUGAAAAGAUGCCUAUCCUUACUGGCAAUCAGAAAAAUACAAAAUAAAGCCACAGUGAGAAAUGAUUACAGUAAGUUCCCUAUAUAUGAACGAGUUCUGUUCCGAGAGAGAGUUCGUAAGUCCAAUUUGUUCAUAAGUCCAACAAAGUUAGCCUAGGUACCCAACUAACACGAUCGGCUAUAUAGUACUGUACUGUAAUAGGUUUAUAAUACUUUUCACACAAAUAAUACAUAAAAAACAGACACAAAAAAUAAAGAAAACAUUUUUAAUCUUACAGUAUAGUACCUUGAAAAGUACACUAAUACAGUACAACAGCUGGCAUACAGGGGCACAUUCGCAUCUUUGAAAGUUUGCAACUUGAAGGUUUGUAUGUAGGCGAUUUACUGUAAUUAAUUUUGUUAAAAAAUAAAACAAUGAUACAUUUAAAAAUUAAAAUUCAAUCAAAACAAUGUGAAACUCUAACAUACAGGUGGUGAUGAUUUCAAGUGUAACAGCCACCUGGAAAAAAGUUUAUCCAGACAGUAGUAAGGAAAAUUGAACACAGACAUAUCCGAUGACUCAGCAAUUCCAUUCCUAUGCUACAGGCUGAAUGUUUGU